UGGUCUCUUAUUUUUUUACAGAGCUGUAUAUAAACAAUAUCUAUAUUAGCAUUAUCUUUUUUUUUUAAACCUAGUUCUGUUUAAUCUAAUCAAAAAUGUUACAUUUUAUGCAAUGACAGUUUGGACCCUUUAAUUGAAUUACAUUUAAUUGUGAUAAACACUAAGUUGUUUCCUCAUUUACAUUGAAUUUACUUUUUACCAACAGUCUGUGAAACUGCCCAACAGUAGCUUAUAAGGAAUGCUUUUGAGUCUAAAUCCGAAUGCUGUUUGCAGUCUUGCUUUUCACGUUUUUAUCUGGAAUGUUGUUCAUGCAUGGCAACUUCAGAAAGCUUUAUAGGCGGUUGGUCAUGCACUGCUAUGUUGCUCAACCUGCAAAAGAUUUUUUUGCUACAUGUAACCUAAAAUUCUAAUCUCUCUUCGGUUCUUUACAGAACAGUUCAGUGAAAAAAUCUAAAGCUUUUGUUCUGUUUUACAGACUCUCAUGUUGCUGCAAUAUCAACUCAUGCUGUCACCAUUCAAAGACUAGAAGAACCAGGUGCUGAGGAAGAGAAACCAGCGGAAAAGAAAAAGCCACCUGCUCAAAAGAAGAAAGCUAAAACAACUUCCGUGAAGAAAGUCUUAACGCCCAAAGAGAAAGCAAAAGCUACAACUCUGAAGAAAGGUCGCGAGGCUCCUAGAGAGAAGAUACAACUGAUCCCUCGAAGAAGAGGUCAGUUAUGUUUUCAUGGUUUGGGAUCAAUGUUUAAUAUAUUGUAAAACAAACUAAAUCAAGCU
rnacentral:lncRNA from 1 species